UUUCUCUGCAUCUGCAGCUGCGUUGAUUCUGUUCUUGCGUUGGUCCAACACCACGGCCAUCCUGCUGUUUGUCUCUCUGUUCUGUCUGAUCCGAUCAACAGGUGCAACAAAGCUGAGAGAGUCUGAGGGGAAAAAUGUCAGUCAGGCAGAGUGUGUACACGCCCACGCAGUCCAGAGAAGAUGUCUAAUUAGGCACGGUUGGAUUUUUUUUCCCCUCAAAAUAACAAACGUCAAAUUACAGCACAAAGGAAGCUUCCCUCCACCGGCAGCUAUCUCCAGGAAAACUGUGGAAACUCUACAACUGCAAACGAGCCUCAAACGCUGAGAUGAAGAGCGAUCGAACCCGAGGUGAAAGCAGAGGGAACGGAUGGACGCUCGCUUGAUGGAGAGCGCAGGUGUUGUGUCAAAGUCUGCUCCCUCGCUGAUUUGCGCUUCCUCUUACCAACGUGACUCGAGACGCUUCAAAACUGACAUUCUUUCAACUAGACCAGGAAGUAACAAAACCUUCCUGGUCACUAAUGCAACCAGGUGUUUUACUGCAGCAGUGAUUGCAGUUUCUAGGUCAAAUUGGGAAGUUAUUCCUGGGAACUACUCCCAGUUUCUGCGUACUGUACUGUGUGAGGUGUCACUAUUGAUUGAUGAGGAAACUACCGUAUUUUUCCUUUUGGUUCCAGUGAAAAAAGCUUUCAAAAACUGUGACAGAUUCUGUGCCAGAAAAAAAAUAUCUGCACCAAUUUCCAAAGUCUCUCCAUCACUCUGUUUGAUGCUCUCUUCAAAGUGAGGUCGAUCUGGUUGUUGAAGGGGUUCGAGGAAAAAAAAAAA